AUACGGAGGAUGCGAGCGUUAUCCGGAUUUAUUGGGUUUAAAGGGAGCGUAGGUGGGAUAUUAAGUCAGCUGUGAAAGUUUGGGGCUCAACCUUAAAAUUGCAGUUGAUACUGGUUUCCUUGAGUACGGUACAGGUGGGCGGAAUUCGUGGUGUAGCGGUGAAAUGCUUAGAUAUCACGAAGAACUCCGAUCGCGAAGGCAGCUCACCGGGCCGGAACUGACACUGAUGCUCGAAAGUGCUGGUAUCAAACAGGAUUAGAUACCCUGGUAGUCCGCACAGUAAACGAUGAAUACUCGCUGUUUGCGAUACACGGUAAGCGGCCAAGCGAAAGCGUUAAGUAUUCCUCCUGGGGAGUACGCCGGCAACGGUGAAACUCAAAUGAAUUGACGGGG
rnacentral:rRNA from 1 species